rnacentral:rRNA from 1 species
UACGUAGGGGGGCUAGCGUUGUCCGGAAUCAUUGGGCGUAAAGAGCGUGUAGGCGGCCCGGUAAGUCCGCUGUAAAAGUCAAAGGCUCAACCUUUGAAUGUCAGUGGAUACUGUCGGGCUAGAGUCCGGAAGAGGCGAGUGGAACUCCUGGUGUAGCGGUGGAAUGCGCAGAUAUCAGGAAGAACACCAACGGCGAAGGCAGCUCGCUGGGACGGUACUGACGCUGAGGAGCGAAAGCGUGGGGAGCAAACAGG